UAGGGAAUAUUGCACAAUGGGGGAAACCCUGAUGCAGCGACGCCGCGUGAGCGAAGAAGUAUCUCGGUAUGUAAAGCUCUAUCAGCAGGGAAGAAGAUGACGGUACCUGACUAAGAAGCACCGGCUAAAUACGUGCCAGCAGCCGCGGUAAUACGUAUGGUGCAAGCGUUAUCCGGAUUUACUGGGUGUAAAGGGAGCGUAGACGGAAGAGCAAGUCUGGAGUGAAAGCCCGGGGCUCAACCCCGGGACUGCUUUGGAAACUGUUUAUCUAGAGUGCUGGAGAGGCAAGCGGAAUUCCUAGUGUAGCGGUGAAAUGCGUAGAUAUUAGGAGGAACACCAGUGGCGAAGGCGGCUUGCUGGACGGUAACUGACGUUGAGGCUCGAAAGCGUGGGGAGCAAACA
rnacentral:rRNA from 1 species